GUCCCCAUCGUCUAGUUGGUCUAGGACAACAGCCUUUCACGCUGUAAACAGGGGUUCGAAUCCCCUUGGGGACGCCA
rnacentral:tRNA from 1 species